rnacentral:rRNA from 1 species
UUUUUUUAAGGGGGGGGGGGAAGCGGCAACAGCUCAGAUUUGAAAUCUGGCCCUUAUGGGGUCCGAAUUGUAAUCUGUAGAGGAUGCUUUUGGCGACGCGCCUUCCGAGUCCCCUGGAACGGGGCGCCAGAGAGGGUGAGAGCCCCGUAUGGUUGGACGCCGAACCUCUGUAAAGCUCCUUCGACGAGUCGAGUAGUUUGGGAAUGCUGCUCAAAAUGGGAGGUAAAUUUCUUCUAAAGCUAAAUACCGGCCAGAGACCGAUAGCGCACAAGUAGAGUGAUCGAAAGAUGAAAAGCACUUUGAAAAGAGGGUCAAAUAGCACGUGAAAUUGCUGAAAGGGAAGCGCUUGUGACCAGACUUGCGCCCGGUUGAUCAUCCAGCGUUCUCGCUGGUGCACUCUGCCGGGCUCAGGCCAGCAUCGGCUCUCCCAGGGGGAUAAAGGUCGCGGGAACGUAGCUCUCUCCGGGGAGUGUUAUAGCCCGUGGCGGAAUGCCCUUAGGGGGGGCCGAGGCCCGCGUUCGCAAGGAUGCUGGCGUAAUGGUCACCAGCGACCCGUCUUGAACCGGCCCAAGGGAGAAAAAAAGCCGGA